rnacentral:rRNA from 1 species
UAAUACGUAGGUGGCAAGCGUUGUCCGGAUUUACUGGGCGUAAAGAGCGCGCAGGCGGUCGUUCAAGUCGCGUGUGAAAGCCCCCGGCUCAACUGGGGAGGGUCACGCGAUACUGAUCGACUCGAAGGCAGGAGAGGGUAGUGGAAUUCCCGGUGUAGUGGUGAAAUGCGUAGAUAUCGGGAGGAACACCAGUGGCGAAGGCGACUACCUGGCCUGUUCUUGACGCUGAGGCGCGAAAGCUAGGGGAGCAAACGGGAUUAGAUACCCCGGUAGUCCUAGCCGUAAACGAUGGACACUAGGUGUUGGUGGUAUCAACCCCGCCAGUGCCGAAGCUAACGCAUUAAGUGUCCCGCCUGGGGAGUACGGCCGCAAGGCUAAAACUUAAAUGAAUUGACGG